AAAAAUGUCAAGGUGUCUUCCAUUUUUAUUUUUUGAACACUUUUCACAUUUGAAUAAGGGAAACAACUGUAAUACUGUAUACAACUAUCUUUUUGUGGGAUUAAUUCAUGCUUUGUAUGCAGUCACAAAUUUUAUGCAGAAGUAUGUCGCAGUGUACAUAAGGUGCAUUCAAGGCAAUUCAGUAUCUCUGCUUGAUUUUUUUCCCAGCAGAUUGAACUGAAAUAGUGAAUCAACAGAAUUAUGACCCCAGGGGAAAAUUAAGUUUACAGUAAUUUAUCAUAUUUUAUAUCAAAUGCUGUCUUUUUUAACCUACUGCCCUUGCAGGUCAGGGGAUGUACCGGUAUAAUUGUAUAUACAUAUAUUGUAGAUCGUGCCGAGGCCAAUUAAGAGGUUAAAAAUUUCAUAUUCAUGAUUCAUAAGUCAUAUCGCUUUUAUUUUAAAUGGGGGACAUGUUUAGCCACUCAUUACACACUGGUCAUUUUGUCAUUACAAGACAGUUUCAAAUUCUAUACUUUACCAAGUCUCUUUUUGAAUGUGUUUUGGUUUAAGACCCUGCUUUAUUUUGAUUUUCAUUAACAAAGUUAUAAAACUGUAAUUUUAAUAUUUGAGUUUCUUUUCUUCUUUUUUUUCCCAUUGAGUUAAGAAAUUUUAUAAAGGUAUAUUUAUCAGAUUCUCAAUACGUGUUACUGAAAAGAAAAAAAUAAGAUGUGAUACAGAUUUUUUUUUUCCUUUCAAUAGGUAUAUAUGUAUAAUUUUCAAACUGUAAGUUCAUUCUUGAUGUACUUACAAAAGCUUUGCAGUCAUAUCGCAUUCAAAUUACAUUCUUAUAUACAAUAAUUGCCUGUAUAUACAUGUAACAUGGUAUUGUGCUUUUAAGAUUUCAUCUCAUAUGAACCCAUUGUACCCACACUUUCAUUUCUUUUUCCAGCAUACUAGAAAAAGCUUUAAUGUGAUAAUUUCCCAGUUAUAUACUGGUAUAUACCAGAAUGCAGUGUAUGAAAUUUUUCAUAAGAAUAUGCUAUUAAAAAUUCUUAUAUUUAU